UUGGGGGAAUUUGAUUCCCAACCGCUAUUUAUGGCUAUUGAUUUCUGCACUUCUUAUUACCACAAUUUUCAGGGCUCUUUCUUCAGCGAAGACUUCGUUCCGCAGAGUGAAUGCUCCUCGGAGAGGUGGCAGCAAGGAUGGCUGGAGCAGGGAGCGUUUUGCAAGGGGAUGGAUGGUUCCCCUCUCCUCCCACUGCUGUGUUGGACCGAAGGCCUUUUCCAUCUCCACCUGUGACUGCUUUUACAUCAGAUCUUCGAAGAGUGGGAAAUUUCCAGGGGCUGAAGUCUCAUCGCACUACUUCAGAAAGAAUUUGGGUCAUCUGAGCCCACCUAACAUUUCUUCUAUGCAUUGCUGUAGUCUUCAUCUUCAGGUGCUUUAAUUCUGCCCAGAUGGAUGAGAAUAGAUGAAUGUCUUCAUCCUGCAGACCAAAGGAAGUAGUAAUCCACUUCAUCUGUCACGAUCUCCCAUUGUGCCUGCUUUUGGAAUCAAGAUCCUCACUUGCAGACUUAUUUUCAUUUGUUCUUUCACUUAAUCACAAAUUGAUUUAGGUUAAAAUAUUCAAUUAAAGGCUGUUUUCUGCAAUCA